rnacentral:lncRNA from 1 species
GCCUAGAGCGUUUGGACAGCCUUUUUCUGCUGCCGGCCAAGCUGUCUCUCUGCCUUUUCCACACUGCACCUCACCCAGCAGUCAAAGUAGGCAGUCCCUCGGAUUCCUACCGCAGUGCUCUGGCUCAAGACCUUCCGGCACUUGUUACAUAUGUAUCUUAUUGUGAUUCUUCUUCACCUUGUUCUCUGACUGCCCCGGUGGGACAGCGAUUCUUGGUUGUUCACCCUUCAAUCUCUCUGGCUUACAAGAAGAGGGGGCGGUGGUCUAGUAGGAGGCGAGGUUGUCACAGAAGCCUUCAAUGUCUCUCAUUCUUGGUUACGAAUCUUCAGUCAUUGAUACCACUGCAGAGGAGCUUCGUCGCCCAUAGCAGCCCGUGGCUACAUGGAUCAUGGGACUUCUGCAUGGUUUUGGGGGGGGGGGGCAGCUUGGAUCACAGACAUCUACCUGGUCUCCCGCAGCAGCAUGGACCAUGAACAUCAACAAGGCCUGCUGCGGCAGGAAGAAUCGACACGGCCUCUGGAGGUGGCAUGGACCACGGACGUCUUUCAAGGAGACUUAAUCCAGAAAACGGAUCACUCAUCUCAGACAAUCUUGUUCAGAGUCAGUGUGUGCAGUUGGGCCGUGUGUCUGGGGGCAGGACCUGUGUGAAAUCCAGGCUGCUGCACAGCACUCUGCCCUUAGCUGCCCUGUCAACAGCCUAGGCACAACCAUCCUAUCUGCAGCACAAGGGCAGUGAGGUAACCCUGGAUCUUAUCCCCACAGCAGGGCGAGCAGCCAGAGAAGCUCCAGCUGCUGUA